UAUCAAUACACGCAGUCUAAUUAGCGAUGUAAUGUUAUUUUCUAAUCAUGAUUGCAAACAUUGGCUAAACAAGAGGCAGACAAGCAGUCACAUUAGUAGUAUUCGUUUUCAGCGACGAUAUGGCAGCAACUACAAAUAUUAGCUUAAAUCACCCAAAACGCACUUUGAUUUUGCUCCAAUGCAAUGCGUAGCGACUACAUUCUGCUUGUGCAACUGCAAUAUAUGUUAUAACAGACAUAUGUCAUUGAAUGUUCGUUCAAAUCGCCACAGGGUUAUUAUUUCAGCUGAGACAGAGACAUAGGCUACAUCAUCAUGGUUCCGAAGAAGGUGAUAAAUACGAAGAGGAGUGUGUGAGCAGCAGCUAAGUAGAAAGAAAUGUGUCUAAAUAACAUGCGCAUAACGUUAUCCGGAUCCGUAGCUUUGAGAGAGGUUUCCGGGGGCGGGGGUGAAAACUCUUUAUUCGUUUAUUUUAACAUACAUUUAUAUUUUAGUAAUUUAGCAGACACUCUUAUCUAGAGCGGCAUAACAUGUGUUAUAAUACCAUGAAUUUGGAGAGUCAUACAUAAAAGCUGGAACUCCCUUAUAAAGCUUUACCGAACUGGAAGCUUGCCAUUGGCUGGCUUCUUCGAAACCCUCCUGCCCAUUCCCCCGUUUCCUGGACAACCCUGUCAGAGUGGAGAAAAAUAGCAAAUCAUUUCAGCGUUGCAGAUGGGAUGGACACAGAGUGCAGGAGCAAACCACCAAAUAGUAAAUCAGUGUGACUGAGACACAUAAUACCACUCCUUCCCAGUGGCAGUGUCUAUGCAAAAUGGGUUGUGGCAAUUCCUCAGUCGCCAGCACCUCAGGAGGGGGACCUGCAGAAACCUCCAAAGAUUUGUAAGUACAGCAGAGAGAGAGAGAGAGACUAAAUUCAAAAUGGGCUAUUACACUGGCCUUAUGGAUAUUACAUUGCAAGACCUCAAAACACCUACUGUCAUGUAAUCAAAUUAAAAUGUUCAGUCUUUUGUAUCAAGGCCUUCAAAUAUUUUGCCUAUAGCAUAUUAAUGUGUAGAGAAAUGAAUACAUGUUCCAGAACUGCUAUUACAAUGAAUUAGUCCUGUUCAGUAAAUCAAAGGAACAGUCAUUUUCCAUUCAAGGCAAAUUGCAUGAAUUAUGUUAUAAAGGGAACAUACGUCUUCACUAGGCACGGUGAGCCACCUCCAUCAUCGUGGCGUGGGAAGGGAGAGCAGGCACCCAUUUCCAAAACAUUUUCUUGAAUCAACUUGUGUGUGUGUGUGGUGUGUGUGCUUUCUGAUAAACAUCUGAGCAGCUACAGUGCUUAAUCCAGGACCAAUGGGGACUGACAGCAGCACACUGCCAACCACGGCCAGUCAGUCACACAGCUCCCCAGGGUUCAGCACUGCAACACAACACACCUCUAGUCCUGCUACACAGACACUUUGACUGGCAGUUCAUGUGUACACUUAUUUUUUCAUGCCUCUUCUAUGGACAGAGAAGAAAGGUAAAUGUGACAAUGUACAUGACAUAGUCCACUAACCAUUUAACCUACAUUCAUUGUAGGUAGGAAACCAUCCAUAUUGUUGAUUCCCUUUUGAUCAGUGCCCUCACAGUGCCAUACCAAGUAUUUCCCUGCAUAUAACCAAGUCCUCCAGGUCAACUCUAUGUCAAUCACUUGUUUGUGUCAUGUUGGGUGUUAUGUAAAAUAUGUUUGAGCAUUGAGCGUUGUAUCAAGUCCUGUGAGCUGAUCUGUGAUUCUUGUCUCAAUCAGGACAGAUGAGUCCUCACCAGACGAUGAGAAAAGAAGGAACUAUGGCGGGGUGUACGUAGGUCUACCAUCUGACAUGACCACCGUUGCAGGCAGCCAGUCCAAGUCCACAGACAAAAGUAAAUAUGACAUCUAUGUCUACUGUACAGCGUCUGUGUAGUAGGGAUGUGAGGAUGAUUGGACAGGAUGGUCAUCAGUGGAUAGUCAUUGCAAUACAAUUGGUUGUAACGUAGUUGUCAAGUUUUCUACUUGUGUUGACUGUACGGGACAUAUCAGAUGAUCUACCCGUCCUGGACAUGGACACACCCCUCCCCCUUUGCUAUAAAGUAUUGCGUUGUCUGCUGCGUUGAUGCCCAGAAUAGACUAAUUGAUUCCACCAUUAUGUGAUUUCAGUACAGCCUCCAAUCGCUGUCCUUCGAUUAACCAUGGCUUUACAGUAAAAGAGACAACAUCAAGCAAAAAAGGAAAUACUGUACAUGAAAGUCCCUUGAAGACUACAUCUUUCUACCGAUGGACAGUUUUUGUUCUCCGUGUUCAAAGAAAACCCCCACGUCAUCUUCAAACAAAAGUUGGUCUCGGUCAUAAAGGGAGUAGAGAGGAAAAGUUUAGUGUGUGUGUGUGUGAGGGCUGUUUGCACUGAGAUCCUACAAAGCCGUUCUCUAUGACUGCCUGUUGGCCAAAGUUAGCCUCUGAAACUUCAUAAUAACCAAUCCAUUUAUUCUAUUCCUGUCCUCUGGCUCAGUUGCAAAUUUAUAACAUGACUGGGAGGUAUUUGGUUGAACAUUUUAUUGUUUCUAUAGAGCCCUUUGGGAAGGUCACUAUUCUCUGAAUCUGUGUGUGUGUGUGUGUGUGUGUGUGUGUGUGUGUGUCCUAAAAGUGAGUUAAAAGAUAAUCAGCCAAGGACCUUGGUAUGGUGUGUAGAGUCAACUGUCAGCUUCUAUUGACCUUGUUGUUGGUUAUGAGAUGCAGAAAUAACUGCAGAAGUCUAUAAGGUUGUUUGAUGAGCAAAAACAGCCACGGGGAGUCUGCAGAACAUAUGGCAGUUGAUGGUUUAGGAGUUGUGAGACAUCUGAUGCCAGUAGUGUGGCAUCUGUGUCCUUAUUAGAAAGAGAGACUGGGAACCUGAGGGUGGGAAUUCUUGGUAAUGUAGAUUUCCAUGAGGAUGUGGAGGAGCUGUGUGUGUGUGUGUGUGGGAAUAAUAUAAAAGGUUGAAGUAGACAACACAAGGGAAUUUGACUCAAGCCUAAUGUUCACAAUUUUCCUAAUGUUUCUAAUUAUGCCGUCUCUCUUGUUCUCUGUAGACUAACAGAUAUAGAAGGGAAACAUUGACAUGCAUCACAGGACUAAAGCUACAAUAUUCAGAACAUACAGAGACAUUACAUUCCUACGUUGAGAGGAGGAUUACUGACUCAUCCUCACAACCCUGCCUCCGUAAGAGUGAAACAGACUGAAAGACCCUGGGGAAUCAGGCAGAUAUGAGGUCAGCCUGCUUGGGUCCUGAGGAAACUGCCUCAGAAUGGCACCGAGUAGACCCUCAAUAGAUGCCUUUGUCUGAGGAGUCUUUGCCCUUUCUGACCCUCACAGGAAGCCGGGCAGCAGCAGAGAAGUCGGGUGGGUACGGGACGACUGCGGAUAUUGGGACCAACAUUAUGGAAUCCGGGGAAAUGAUCUGGACUAGCUCCUUGUGUUUAGGAAGAGAUGUGACACACACAGCCCAGUCACACAGAGACACCUUCUCGACCGGCUCUGUAAACAUUUAAUCCAAGUGCAUAUAUUGUGGCUGGUGUAGAUAGAUGUUUUAUGUGGUGGGAGGGAUAGUGGACCCACACAGUGGCUCAAACACAAGCAGUGCUAUUCACUUUUAUGGAGUAUUUUAGGUCACCCAGUUUUCAUUUUCUUUUCAGUAUCAGAUACUGUAAAUAAUUUCAGAGAUUCAUGAAAACAACAUUCUAUAACCCAUUUGGAGAUUGUGUUGUGAUAUUUUCUAGUUGGUUGCUGCUAUUUCUUUUUAAACCAUUGCAUUUACUGUCUAAAUACAAAUUGACCUACUUUUGGUACCAAACGGAUGGGGGACCUCCUGUGGGUGUACUGGCUGGUACUGUAGCCUGACUGUACUGUAGCGAGCAUCUGUUGUGUGCGUCAUUCAUGUCUGAGAUUGUUAAGUGUUGUGUUGUGUUGUCAUUUAACCUGUGAAUCAUGCUAACAUGACAUCGUCAGUCUGUAUGGGGCUAAAGAUGCAUUGAGGAUACUACUCUUACAUUUCUUUACCCACAAAGGUCUGAACUGAUCUGAGAUCUGACGUCAUCAGAUUGUUAACAAUGCAUGCAUUAUUACUCCAGGUGCCAGCAGCUGAUCUCAGUGUUCCACAUACAGUAGCUCUUGUUGGCCAUUUUAGCAGCUGCAUCCAGAACUCGUUGUUUUUUACGAAGAGAUAAACUCUCCAACUGCAAUUUGUAAAAUGUUGUCUUUUCUAUUUGUAAAAUUCAAAAAUGAUUCCUUUUGAAAACGAAAUGUACAACUUUUAUUAUAACGGUUAAUUGGAAAGAUGAUCAGUCAAAAAGAAUCUGAACUACAUUGUUUAGCAUAGGUUUGCCUAAACAUAUUUGAAUCUAUAUUUCUCAUUAUGAUCAACUGUAUCAGUGAAUCUAGUUGGAAACCAUAACACAGGCAGCAUAUUCACACACCACAAUAUCUCCCCCAAAGCAUGAAUUAGAAGGGAAUAGAGAAUCCAUCCAAUGUCAUUUAUCUACAUGCAGUUCCUGUUCGUGAUUUAAUGAAUGUAUGAAUGUACAGCAUCUUCACCACCACGACCACAGAGGAACAGGGAAGUAGGCCAUGCUAACCAUAUGCUCACACACUUGAGAUUCAAGAGAUGUUUUAUUCUCUUCAAUACAUCAGUCCGAUUAUAUAUUCUCUACUCCACUCUACCUGGUUUGAGAUAAGAAUAUGGAAUAUACAUAAUAUUUAUAUGGAAUAUACAUAAUAUUUAUAUGGAAUAUAAAUGUAGAUUAUGAAUGCUCCCUGGCGUUCAACCAUCUACUCCGUAAUCUGUGCCAGGCCGCGUGUGAGGUUUAGAAAUGCGAUGGGUACCGAUUAAAGAGCACCCCACAGUUUCUGCUCUGCUACUACACGGCUACCACCGAAAAAUGAAUACAGCCCCUUUUCAUUGAUGUCUACAUUUCCUUUCUGUUGAGGCUCUUCCAGUUUCACCAUCAGAAUCCUCUGGCCUUUGGCUUUCACGGUGCACAGUGCAACGCAGUUCCCACUGGGCAAACACUAGUUGAAUCAACGUUGUUCCACGUCGUUGAAAUUAAUUGGACGUCUGUGCCCAGUGGGUCUGCCUUUUCAUCUGUUCUCUGCUCUAGCCAACUCCUCCACCCUUUACAGACAGUUGUACUGUAACACAAGGGUGAAUGUCACUGAGCUAAUCCUGCUUUAUUCAAUUAGGAAGACUGGGAGGGAAGAGGAUGAAAAAAGGGUAUUCAAAAGCCACACUGGGAAAGGAAAAGUUGCUACAGAAUAUCAACACAGGAGUUGAUAACCAAGCAUAGCUAGCUGUGUACAGAAUGAAUGUAGCUCUUAGGAGGAUGGAGAAAAGGUAUGGGAAAUUGUGUUAAAAAAGCAGCAUCCAUGGAACCCUGGUAUUUUUUACUGUAUUGGGGUUCCUUUAAGCAUUAAGGCAUGAGGGGGGGGCGGUAUAUUGGCCAUAUACCACAGUUACCUUAUUGCUAUUCUAAACUGGUUAUCAACAUAAUUAGAGCAGUAAAAAUAAAUGUUUUGUCAUACCCGUAGUAUACGGUCUGGUAUACCACUGCUGUCAGCCAAUCAGCAUUCAGGGCUCUAACCACCCAGUUUAUAUCAGCAUAUAGCUCAUGGAAGUCUCACUGGUAUACUGUUCAUGGUGCUGCACAUGAUUACGACGACAGGGGAAUUGAUUACUUUGGAGUCAUUUGAGGCUAAAGCAGCUGUGCUGGAGGCUUCUUAUUCUGGAUUUAUCUCCUUGUGUACAUGUGUCCAUAACACAUUUGGGAAAAGAGAAAACACAUGAGAAAACCACUGUAGAUGAUCACUUGAGAACCAAUUGAUGACUUUUUAUGCUAUUUACUACUGUAUGAGAUACUGUUCCUAAUCUUUGAUGCUCCUAACUUGUUCUGGGUCACUUUGUGUACAUACAGUACACCCUUAAACACAGUAAGAAGGAUCACAGCUGCUUUAGAGAGUCAUUCUUGUAUAUAACCCGACAUGCCCUGUAUUACUUGUCCUAUCACUGAUCUAUUUAUGAUUAAAGUAUUUUCUAUUGUCUGUGCACUGCUGUAGUUCUUGAUUGUGGUUUUUGUGAAAUGGAUUUGUGU
rnacentral:lncRNA from 1 species